rnacentral:rRNA from 1 species
UACGAGUGCCCCAAGCGUUAUCCGGAAUUAUUGGGCGUAAAGGGUGCGUAGGUGGGUCUGUAAGUCAGUGGUGAAAUCCCCGAGCUUAACUUGGGAACUGCCGUUGAUACUAUAGAUCUUGAAUAUCGUGGAGGUAAGCGGAAUAUGUCAUGUAGCGGUGAAAUGCUUAGAUAUGACAUAGAACACCAAUUGCGAAGGCAGCUUACUACACGAUCAUUGACACUGAGGCACGAAAGCGUGGGGAGCAAACAGG